rnacentral:rRNA from 1 species
UGCCAGCCGCCGCGGUAAUACGUAGGGUGCGAGCGUCAUCCGGAAUCAUUGGGCGUAAAGAGCUCGUAGGCGGUUCAGCAAGUCGGCUGUGAAAUUCCGAGGCUCAACCUCGGAACUGCAGUCGAUACUGCUGUGACUCGAGUCCGGUAGAGGAGAAUGGAAUUCCCGGUGUAGCGGUGAAAUGCGCAGAUAUCGGGAGGAACACCGAUGGCGAAGGCAUCUCUCUGGGUCGAUAUUGACGCUGAGGCGCGAAGGCGUGGGUAGCGAACGGGAUUAGAUA